GACGUAGGGCGCGAGCGUUGUCCGGAUUUAUUGGGCGUAAAGAGCUUGUAGGCGGUUUGUCGCAUCUGCUGUGAAAAUCCGGGGCUCAACCCUGGACUUGCAGUGGGUACGGGCAGACUAGAGUGUGGUAGGGGAGACUGGAAUUCCUGGUGUAGCGGUGAAAUGCGCAGAUAUCAGGAGGAACACCGAUGGCGAAGGCAGGUCUCUGGGCCACUACUGACGCUGAGAAGCGAAAGCAUGGGGAGCGAACAGGAUUA
rnacentral:rRNA from 1 species